rnacentral:rRNA from 1 species
GGGGACCUACGGGGCGCAGCAGUGGGGAAUAUUGGGCAAUGGGCGCAAGCCUGACCCAGCAACGCCGCGUGAAGGAAGAAGGCUUUCGGGUUGUAAACUUCUUUUAUGAGGGACGAAAGAAAUGACGGUACCUCACGAAUAAGCCACGGCUAACUACGCGCCAGCAGCCACGGUAAUACGUAGGUGGCAAGCGUUAUCCGGAUUUACUGGGUGUAAAGGGCGUGUAGGCGGGACUGCAAGUCAGAUGUGAAAAUUAUGGGCUCAACCCAUAACCUGCAUUUGAAACUGUAGUUCUUGAGUGAUGG